AUUGAACGCUGGCGGCAGGCCUAACACAUGCAAGUCGAACGGUAACAGGAAGAAGCUUGCUUCUUUGCUGACGAGUGGCGGACGGGUGAGUAAUGUCUGGGAAACUGCCUGAUGGAGGGGGAUAACUACUGGAAACGGUAGCUAAUACCGCAUAACGUCGCAAGACCAAAGAGGGGGACCUUCGGGCCUCUUGCCAUCUGAUGUGCCCAGAUGGGAUUAGCUAGUAGGUGGGGUAACGGCUCACCUAGGCGACGAUCCCUAGCUGGUCUGAGAGGAUGACCAGCCACACUGGAACUGAGACACGGUCCAGACUCCUACGGGAGGCAGCAGUGGGGAAUAUUGCACAAUGGGCGCAAGCCUGAUGCAGCCAUGCCGCGUGUAUGAAGAAGGCCUUCGGGUUGUAAAAUACUUUCAGCGGGGAGGAAGGGAGUAAAGUUAAUACCUUUGCUCAUUGACGUUACCCGCAGAAGAAGCACCGGCUAACUCCGUG
rnacentral:rRNA from 1 species